AUGACCAUGUCAAGCGAAGCGGAGCAAGGCCAUGGCGCUGGCGACGACCAAGAUAGCGGCGGCCUGCCUGAGGACCAGUUGUUCGAGAUGCUCACCCGCGUCUCCCUCGACGACCUCUCCGCGUGCCGCCAGGUGUCCGCCCAGUGGCGCCGGCUCACGUACGAGCCGGCGUUCUCGCCGCUGCACUGCCGCCGCCGCGCCGACGCCGUCGUCUCGGGCUACUUCGUCCAGGGCAUGGCGCGCAACCGCUACUCCGCCACUUUCGUCUCCAUGCACCCCUCCCAGUCCUCCCAGGCCAGUCCGCCCGUCUCCCUCGACUUCCUGCCGGCCGCGCACGUCCGCGUUGAGGCCGUGUCCGCGCACCGCGGCCUCGCGUGCUGCGUCGACGCCGAACGCAUGGGUGGCAAGGCGUCGUCGGCGCGAUGCUACUACGUGUGCAAGCCCGCCACGAGGCAGUGGCGGGCGCUGCCCAACCCGAGGCUGCGCUUCCCCACGGCGGCCACCGCGAUGGUUGCACGCCCCGCCAGCGCCGGCGCCGGCGCGGACUUCCAGAUCCUCCGGCUCUCGGUCCCUACGCUGCGUGACCACCUGCGCUGCGAGAUCUUCGACUCGUGGAGGUGGGCGUGGCGGCGCUCGGCCGACGUGAUGGUGUGGCCGGAGUCGCUCGUGGCCGCCAGCCCGCCGGUGAGGGCCCACGGCGCCAUGCAUUGGCUCCGGUGUCCGGACAGGGCCAGCGCCGCCGAGGACAUCUUCGCGAUCCACAUGAAGAGCGAGGCGUGGAGGCUCGUUGCUCUCCCGCCGGAGGUGGAGGACAGAGCGGACAGGUGGGCGCGCAAGAAGCUGGUGACGGUGGAGGGGAAGCUGUGCCUGGCGGUGAUCGUGGAGGACGAGGGGGCGGCGGAGGUGUGGGUGAUAGCCGACUACGGCAGGCAGCAGGAGAGAUGGGAGAAGAAGAUGGCGGUGAAGUUGAAGAGUCUAGGGAUGCAGGAAGGGAGAAGGCUUACACUCGGUGAUCUCUGCUCCUCCGAGAUCGCAUUCUUCAACAGUGCAUACAGAGUGAUCUGGUACGAUUUUUGGAGGGGCAAGAUAGCAGAAGUCACCGUUCAUCACAAAUACAUACAAGAAGUUUUCAAGUAUGAGUCAGAUUUGGUCCCUUGGGACAUCCAUGCACAUAAAAUCUAG
rnacentral:rRNA from 1 species